rnacentral:rRNA from 1 species
ACGAACGCUGGCGGCGUGCUUAACACAUGCAAGUCGAACGGAAAGGCCCUGCUUUUGUGGGGUGCUCGAGUGGCGAACGGGUGAGUAACACAUGAGUAACCUGCCCUUGACUUUGGGAUAACUUCAGGAAACUGGGGCUAAUACCGGAUAGGAGCUCCUGCUGCAUGGUGGGGGUUGGAAAGUUUCGGCGGUUGGGGAUGGACUCGCGGCUUAUCAGCUUGUUGGUGGGGUAGUGGCUUACCAAGGCUUUGACGGGUAGCCGGCCUGAGAGGGUGACCGGCCACAUUGGGACUGAGAUACGGCCCAGACUCCUACGGGAGGCAGCAGUGGGGAAUAUUGCACAAUGGGCGGAAGCCUGAUGCAGCAACGCCGCGUGCGGGAUGACGGCCUUCGGGUUGUAAACCGCUUUCGCCUGUGACGAAGCGUGAGUGACGGUAAUGGGUAAAGAAGCACCGGCUAACUACGUG